rnacentral:rRNA from 1 species
AGCGAACGCUGGCGGCGUGCCUAACACAUGCAAGUCGAACGUGAAAGGGAGCAAUCCCCAGUAAAGUGGCGUACGGGUGAGUAACACGUAGGUAAUCUACCCCAGAAUCUGGAAUAGCCGGCCGAAAGGCUGGCUAAUACUGGAUAGAGCGACGGAAUCCGUAAUUGGGUUUUUCGGGAAAGGGAGCCUGUAAAAAGGCCUUCGUUCUGGGAUGAGCCUGCGUCCCAUCAGCUAGUUGGUGAGGUAAAAGCUUACCAAGGCAAUGACGGGUAGCUGGUCUGAGAGGACGAUCAGCCACACUGGAACUGAAACACGGUCCAGACUCCUACGGGAGGCAGCAGUGGGGAAUCUUGCGCAAUGGACGAAAGUCUGACGCAGCAACGCCGCGUGAGUGAAGAAGGCCUUCGGGUUGUAAAGCUCUGUCGAGUGGGACGAAAAUGCUUGGAGUUCACAGCUCCAGGAACUGACGGUACCACUAAAGGAAGCACCGGCUAACUCCGUG